rnacentral:rRNA from 1 species
UACGGGGGGGAGCAAGCGUUGUUCGGAUUUACUGGGCGUAAAGGGCGCGUAGGCGGUCGUGACAAGUCACUUGUGAAAUCUCCGGGCUUAACUCGGAACGGUCAAGUGAUACUGUCGGACUAGAGUACAGAAGGGGCAACUGGAAUUCUCGGUGUAGCGGUGAAAUGCGUAGAUAUCGACUUGGAACGCCGAAGGGUGAAAACAGGCUGCUGGGGUUGCGCCGAACGCCGUGGAGAACACGGAAAGCCAGGG